UACGUAGGGGGCUAGCGUUGUCCGGAAUCAUUGGGCGUAAAGAGCGUGUAGGCGGUCCGGUAAGUCCGCUGUGAAAGUCGGGGCUCAACCCUCGAAUGCCGGUGGAUACUGUCGGGCUAGAGUGCGGAAGAGGCGAGUGGAAUUCCUGGUGUAGCGGUGAAAUGCGCAGAUAUCAGGAGGAACACCGGUGGCGAAGGCGGGUCUCUGGGCCGAAAUUGACGCUGGAGGAGCGAAAGCGUGGGAGCGAACAGG
rnacentral:rRNA from 1 species